rnacentral:rRNA from 1 species
CNUGCAGUCGAACGAGGUAGCAAUACCUAGUGGCGCACGGGUGAGUAACGCGUGGAUAAUCUGCCUUUGAGUGGGGGAUAACUAGUCGAAAGAUUAGCUAAUACCGCAUAAGACCACAGGAACUGAGGUUCUAGGGGUUAAAGGUUUUUCGCUCAUAGAUGAGUCCGCGUGAGAUUAGCUAGUUGGUGAGGUAACGGCUCACCAAGGCGACGAUCUCUAACUGGUCUGAGAGGAUGAUCAGUCACACUGGAACUGAGACACGGUCCAGACUCCUACGGGAGGCAGCAGUAGGGAAUAUUGCACAAUGGAGGAAACUCUGAUGCAGCGACGCCGCGUGAGUGAUGAAGGCCUUCGGGUCGUAAAGCUCUGUCGCAGGGGAAUAACACAAUGAAUGUACCCUGUAAGAAAGGAUCGGCUAACUUCGUGCCAGCAGCCNNGGUAA